rnacentral:rRNA from 1 species
CUACGGGCCGCAGCAGUGGGGAAUAUUGCACAAUGGGCGCAAGCCUGAUGCAGCCAUGCCGCGUGUAUGAAGAAGGCCUUCGGGUUGUAAAGUACUUUCAGCGGGGAGGAAGGGAGUAAAGUUAAUACCUUUGCUCAUUGACGUUACCCGCAGAAGAAGCACCGGCUAACUCCGUGCCAGCAGCCGCGGUAAUACGGAGGGUGCAAGCGUUAAUCGGAAUUACUGGGCGUAAAGGGCACGCAGGCGGUUUGUUAAGUCAGAUGUGAAAUCCCCGGGCUCAACCUGGGAACUGCAUCUGAAACUGGCAAGCUUGAGUCUCGGAGAGGGGGGUAGAAUUCCAGGUGUAGCGGUGAAAUGCGUAGAGAUCUGGAGGAAUACCGGUGGCGAAGGCGGCCCCCUGGACGAAGACUGACGCUCAGGUGCGAAAGCGUGGGGAGCAAACAGGAUUAGAUACCCUUGUAGUC